rnacentral:rRNA from 1 species
UACGUAGGGGGCGAGCGUUGUCCGGAAUCAUUGGGCGUAAAGCGCGUGUAGGCGGUCCGGUAAGUCCGCUGUGAAAGUCGGGGGCUCAACCCUCGGAUGCCGGUGGAUACGGUCGGGCUUGAGUACGGAAGAGGCGAGUGGAAUUCCUGGUGUAGCGGUGAAAUGCGCAGAUAUCAGGAGGAACACCGGUGGCGAAGGCGGGACUCUGGGCCGAUACUGACGCUGAGGAGCGAAAGCGUGGGGAGCAAACAGG